rnacentral:misc_RNA from 1 species
UCCUGGUUGGCCCAGGCAGUCUCGCAUGAAAAAUACAACAUACGAUAAGGGUUGCGCUCGUUGAUGGACUUAACCAAACAUCUCACGACACGAGCUUUAGACGGCCAUGCAGCACCUGUCAUCUGGUUCCCGAAGGCACUCCAUGAUCUCUCACGGAUUCCAGAGAUGUCAAGCCUCGGUAAGGUUCUACGCGUAGCGUCAUAUUAAACCACAUCCUCCUCCGCUUGUGCGGGUCCCCGUCAAUUCCUUUGAGUUUUAGCCUUGCGGCCGUACUUCCCAGGCGGCAUACUUAUCGCGUUAGCUGCGACGCACAGGGGGUCGAUACCCCAUACGUCUAGUAUGCAUCGUUUACGGCGUGGACUAC